rnacentral:lncRNA from 1 species
CUGAAAAGAGAGCUUAUUGUACCUCACGCACAGCAGCAGGUUUAACAGAAAAGUAGACAUGUUUAUAGUCCCAGAUUUACAGCACACCUUAUAAACACCUUAUUACUUAGAAUCCAGUCUGCUGUCCCAGAAACUAAGAAUGUGACUUUGUUAAGCAGUAGGAUUUGUUGACAUAAAUGUCUUGACUAAGUUUGCCAUUGUGGUUAACCAAAACGCAUUUACUCCUGGGAAAGUAAACACAAGCAAACAAAAUGCCUCUUAUACUACAAUACGG